UGGGGAAUAUUGCACAAUGGGCGCAAGCCUGAUGCAGCGACGCCGCGUGGGGGAUGACGGCCUUCGGGUUGUAAACUCCUUUCGCCAGGGACGAAGCGUUUUGUGACGGUACCUGGAGAAGAAGCACCGGCUAACUACGUGCCAGCAGCCGCGGUAAUACGUAGGGUGCAAGCGUUGUCCGGAAUUACUGGGCGUAAAGAGCUCGUAGGUGGUUUGUCACGUCGUCUGUGAAAUUCCACAGCUUAACUGUGGGCGUGCAGGCGAUACGGGCUGACUUGAGUACUGUAGGGGUAACUGGAAUUCCUGGUGUAGCGGUGAAAUGCGCAGAUAUCAGGAGGAACACCGAUGGCGAAGGCAGGUUACUGGGCAGUUACUGACGCUGAGGAGCGAAAGCAUGGGUAGCAAACAGGAUUAGAUACCCUGGUAGUCCAUGCCGUAAACGGUGGGCGCUAGGUGUAGGGACCUUUUGGGGUUUCUGUGCCGUAGCUAACGCAUUAAGCGCCCCGCUUGGGGAGUACGGCCGCAAGGCUA
rnacentral:rRNA from 1 species